AUUGAACGCUGGCGGCAUGCCUUACACAUGCAAGUCGAACGGCAGCACGGGUGCUUGCACCUGGUGGCGAGCGGCGAACGGGUGAGUAAUACAUCGGAACGUACCUUAUCGUGGGGGAUAACGCAGCGAAAGCUGUGCUAAUACCGCAUACGCCCUGAGGGGGAAAGCGGGGGAUCGCAAGACCUCGCGCGAUCAGAGCGGCCGAUGCCUGAUUAGCUUGUUGGUGGAGUAAAAGCCCACCAAGGCGACGAUCAGUAGCUGGUCUGAGAGGACGAUCAGCCACACUGGGACUGAGACACGGCCCAGACUCCUACGGGAGGCAGCAGUGGGGAAUUUUGGACAAUGGGGGCAACCCUGAUCCAGCAAUGCCGCGUGAGUGAAGAAGGCCUUCGGGUUGUAAAGCUCUUUUGUCAGGGAAGAAACACCGGCUCUAACACAGUCUGGGAAUGACGGUACCUGAAGAAUAAGCACCGGCUAACUACGUGCCAGCCGCCGCCGUAA
rnacentral:rRNA from 1 species